AUUGAACGCUGGCGGCAGGCCUAACACAUGCAAGUCGAACGAGUGGCGGACGGGUGAGUAAUGUUUGGGAAACUGCCCGAUGGAGGGGGAUAACUACUGGAAACGGUAGCUAAUACCGCAUACCAUCGGAUGUGCCCAGAUGGGCUUAGCUAGUAGGUGGGGUAACGGCUCACCUAGGCGUCGAUCCCUAGCUGGUCUGAGAGGAUGACCAGCCACACUGGAGCUGAGCCACGGUCCAGACCCCUUCGGAGGGCAGCAGUGGGGAAUAGUGGACAAUAGGGGCAAGCCUUAUGCAGGCAUGCCGGGUGGAUGAAGAAGGCCUUCGGGUUGUAAAGUACUUUCAGCUAGGAGGCGUUACUUGCACAAGAAACACCGGCUAACUCCGUGCCAGCAGCCGCGGUAAUUC
rnacentral:rRNA from 1 species